GUUUUCUGAGUUGCGCGGAGGCUGAAAAACUCGGAACAGCCUGUGUUGUCAUCAGCUUCGUCUCUUAUUACACUGUGAGAUGGGAGUUAAAUAACAGCACGAGAUUC
rnacentral:snoRNA from 2 species